rnacentral:rRNA from 1 species
UACGUAGGGUCCGAGCGUUGUCCGGAAUUAUUGGGCGUAAAGGGCUCGAUAGGCGGUUUGUCUACGUCGGGCGUGAAAACUCAAGGGCUCCAACCCUGAGCGUGCGUCCGAUACGGGCAGACUAAGAGGGUAUGCAGGGGGAGAACGGGAAUUCCGUGGUGUAGCGGUGGAAUGCGCAGAUAUCAGGAGGAACACCGGUGGUGUAGACG